AUGAACGCUGGCGGCGUGCCUAAUACAUGCAAGUCGAGCGAACAGACGAGGAGCUUGCUCCUCUGACGUUAGCGGCGGACGGGUGAGUAACACGUGGAUAACCUACCUAUAAGACUGGGAUAACUUCGGGAAACCGGAGCUAAUACCGGAUAAUAUAUUGAACCGCAUGGUUCAAUAGUGAAAGACGGUUUUGCUGUCACUUAUAGAUGGAUCCGCGCCGCAUUAGCUAGUUGGUAAGGUAACGGCUUACCAAGGCGACGAUGCGUAGCCGACCUGAGAGGGUGAUCGGCCACACUGGAACUGAGACACGGUCCAGACUCCUACGGGAGGCAGCAGUAGGGAAUCUUCCGCAAUGGGCGAAAGCCUGACGGAGCAACGCCGCGUGAGUGAUGAAGGUCUUUGGAUCGUAAAACUCUGUUAUUAGGGAAGAACAAAUGUGUAAGUAGCUAUGCACGUCUUGACGGUACCUAAUCAGAAAGCCACGGCUAACUACGUG
rnacentral:rRNA from 1 species